UACGUAGGCAGCAAGCGUUGUUCGGAGUUACUGGGCGUAAAGGGCGCGUAGGCGGUCCUAUAAGUAUGGUGUGAAAUCUCCCGGCUUAACUGGGAGGGUGCGCUAUAGACUGUGGGACUAGAGUGUGGGAGAGGAAAGUGGAAUUCCUGGUGUAGCGGUGAAAUGCGUAGAUAUCAGGAGGAACACCGGUGGUGUAAACGGCUUUCUGGACCAUAACUGACGCUGAUGCACGAAAGCGUGGGUAGCAAACAGG
rnacentral:rRNA from 1 species